CAGCCGCCGCGGGAAUACGAGGGGGGCAAGCGUUGUUCGGAAUUACUGGGCGUAAAGCGCACGUAGGCGGCUUGGUAAGUUAGAGGUGAAAGCCUGGAGCUCAACUCCAGAAUUGCCUUUAAGACUGCAUCGCUUGAACGUCGGAGAGGUGAGUGGAAUUCCGAGUGUAGAGGUGAAAUUCGUAGAUAUUCGGAAGAACACCAGUGGCGAAGGCGGCUCACUGGACGACUGUUGACGCUGAGGUACGAAAGCGUAGGGAGCAAACAGGAUUAGAGACCCGCGUAGUCCCUGUCUCUUAUAC
rnacentral:rRNA from 1 species